rnacentral:sRNA from 1 species
UCCCUAACUCGCAAGCAAUCUACCGUGGC